rnacentral:rRNA from 1 species
AGCGAACGUUAGCGGCGCGCUUAACACAUGCAAGUCGAACGAGAAAGGGACUUCGGUCCCCGGUAAAGUGGCGCACGGGUGCGUAACACGUAGGCAAUCUUCCCUCAGGAGGGGGAUAACUACCCGAAAGGGUAGCUAAUACCGCGUAAGACCACGGGCUCCACGGAGCUUGCGGUCAAAGGAGGCCUCUUCAUGAAAGCUUCCACCAGAGGAGGAGCCUGCGGCCCAUCAGCUAGUUGGCAGGGUAACGGCCUACCAAGGCGAAGACGGGUAGCCGGUCUGAGAGGAUGAUCGGCCACACUGGCACUGAAACACGGGCCAGACUCCUACGGGAGGCAGCAGUGGGGAAUCUUGGACAAUGGGCGAAAGCCUGAUCCAGCGACGCCGCGUGGGUGAUGAAGGCCUUCGGGUUGUAAAGCCCUGUUGAAGGGAAAGAAAACGUUGGGCGCGAAUAGCUCCCGACCUUGACGGUACCCUUCCAGAAAGCACCGGCUAACUCUGUGCCAGCCGCCGCAGUAAAAC